AUAAGCGGAGGAAAAGAAACUAACAAGGAUUCCCCUAGUAACGGCGAGUGAAGAGGGAAGAGCCCAAGAUUGAAAGCUGGCGCCUUCGGUGUCCGCAUUGUAAUCUCAAGAAGUGUUUUCCGCUUCGGACCAAGCCUAAGUCCCUUGGAAAAGGGCAUCGUAGAGGGUGAGAAUCCCGUACAUGGCUUGGAGCGCCCGAGGCUUUGUGAUACGCUUUCUAAGAGUCGAGUUGUUUGGGAAUGCAGCUCAAAAUGGGUGGUAAAUGCCAUCUAAGGCUAAAUAUUGGGGAGAGACCGAUAGCGAACAAGUACCGUGAGGGAAAGAUGAAAAGAACUUUGAAAAGAGAGUUAAACAGUACGUGAAAUUGCCAAAAGGGAAGGGUAGGAGGUCAGAGAUGCGUGCGAGGAUUCAGCCUGGCUUUUGCUUGGUGUUUUUCCUCGUUUUGCAGGCCAACGUCGGUUUUGGGCACUGGAGAAGGGUAGGAGGAACGUGGCACCCCUCGGGGUGUGUUAUAGCCUCCUACUGGAUACAGCGACCGAGACCGAGGACAGCAGCGUACUCGCAAGAGCGGGCCUUCGGGCACCUUUACGCUUAGGACGUUGGCAUAAUGGCCCUCUACCACCCGUCUUGAAA
rnacentral:rRNA from 1 species